GACAGAGGGUGCAAACGUUGCUCGGAAUCACUGGGCGUAAAGGGCGUGUAGGCGGGAAGGAAAGUCAGAUGUGAAAUCCCUGGGCUCAACCCAGGAACUGCAUUUGAAACUCCCUUUCUUGAGUACCGGAGAGGAAGGUGGAAUUCCUGGUGUAGAGGUGAAAUUCGUAGAUAUCAGGAGGAACACCGGUGGCGAAGGCGGCCUUCUGGACGGUAACUGACGCUGGAGAACGCGAAAGCGUGGGGAGCAAACAGG
rnacentral:rRNA from 1 species